rnacentral:rRNA from 1 species
UACGUAGGGCGCAAGCGUUAUCCGGAAUUAUUGGGCGUAAAGAGCUCGUAGGCGGUUUGUCACGUCUGCUGUGAAAGCCCGAGGCUCAACCUCGGGUGUGCAGUGGGUACGGGCAGACUAGAGUGAUGUAGGGGAGACUGGAAUUCCUGGUGUAGCGGUGAAAUGCGCAGAUAUCAGGAGGAACACCGAUGGUGAAGGCAGGUCUCUGGGCAUUAACUGACGCUGAGGAGCGAAAGCAUGGGGAGCAAACAGG